GCAGAUCAAGCAGAGGCCGUCUUGUUUCAGAGUCAGUGCUGGACGGACAAAAAGGACCCUCUGAGAAAACACAGCCGCCAAAACGCAAGCAAACGACCGUAGAAGUCCACGGGUUUCCUCCCUAUAUCGUACGCUGGACACGAGCUUCCGGGGGUAUCCCAUGUUCGGUUCCUACGACGCAAUUCGAAUUCCUUCGCGAGCAGAAGGGCUUCCUGUGGGGUUUUGUGAAGAGAAAGCUGAGGGUUCUUGAUACUCUGACUGCGGUGGCGACACGAGCCCGGUGUGUUACAUUCUGCGUUCUACUAUGUGGGAAUGGCUUUGAAGUUUCCCUACGACCUGCUGCGUGGGUGGCGUUAUUUCUCCAAUCUACUAUGGCAUAUACACAUCUCUGAAAAUAUUGUAGGACUCAUGAAUUCUGGGGACCAGCGAGAACCCCUGUCAGGCAGCUCGCCUAAGAGUAGCAUCUCGAGUCCUAGUUGUUGGUAAACAGUGCCUUACAAGUACCUUGAAUACACUUUGCUGCAAGAAACAAUCCUUCUCGUGUGUACCAUCGUCAAUUCAGAGAGCCUCAGUGUACACCUCAGGAAGUGAGUUAAGAUACUGUGAGGUGACAAGGCAGCAGUUGUCAAUGGGCCUUCGUGCGUGUCCUUGGAACAGUAUGCGUUCGCUUGCCAACAAAGGACCCUUCUCACGGUUGCCGCAGAACCCAAAGAAGAGAGCGUCUUGAUUUCUCAGCCAUGUGGUAGAUGUCAAUGACAACAGGGGAGAAGAGUGGGGAUGGGUGCGAGGGCGUGCGAAGUGUUUGUGCCUGACAAGCCCUGUGAGAGCGAGCGUCCACCUCUCCUUCGGUGUCACUUACCGCCACAUGGUUUUCGCUGGAUCAUCUCGCAAGGCUUGCCUCCCCACUGGGCUUCUCUUGUCCUUGUGAACAGUCGAGACGACAAGCAGUUCGCGUCACACAGACUCCACUCACUCCAGGUGCCUUGGCAGUCGAGCGCCGCGACGUCGAAAACGAGGCGCGCUUCCUCCGAGGGACACUCGGAGCGGCCGAAGAAACCCUCAGG
rnacentral:lncRNA from 1 species